UACGUAGGUGGCAAGCGUUGUCCGGAUUUACUGGGCGUAAAGGGCGUGCAGGCGGUCUGUUAAGUUCAGGGUGAAAGCUCCCGGCUCAACUGGGAGAGGUCCUUGGAUACUGGCAGACUUGAGGGAGGUAGAGGAGAGUGGAAUUCCCGGUGUAGUGGUGAUAUGCGUAGAUAUCGGGAGGAACACCAGUGGCGAAGGCGGCUCUCUGGGUCUUUCCUGACGCUGAGACGCGAAAGCGUGGGGAGCGAACCGG
rnacentral:rRNA from 1 species